CCCCUGUUUUGCAAACCAGGGAUAGAGACCCUGGUAGUCCACGCCGUCAACGAUGAGAACUAGCUGUUGGGAAGUUCACUUCUUAGUAGCGAAGCUAACGCGUUAAGUUCUCCGCCUGGGGAGUACGGCCGCAAGGUUAAAACUCAAAGAAAUUGACGGGGGCCCGCACAAGCGGUGGAGCAUGUGGUUUAAUUCGAUGCAACGCGAAAAACCUUACCUACCCUUGACAUCCUCGGAACUUGUCAGAGAUGACUUGGUGCCUUCGGGAACCGAGUGACAGGUGCUGCAUGGCUGUCGUCAGCUCGUGUCGUGAGAUGUUGGGUUAAGUCCCGUAACGAGCGCAACCCUCGUCCUUAGUUGCCAGCGAGUCAUGUCGGGAACUCUAAGGAGACUGCCGGUGAUAAACCGGAGGAAGGUGGGGAUGAUGUCAAGUCAUCAUGGCCCUUAUGGGUAGGGCUACACACGUGCUACAAUGGGCAGUACAAAGGGUUGCCAAGCCGCAAGGUGGAGCUAAUCCCAGAAAACUGCUCUUAGUCCGGAUUGGAGUCUGCAACUCGACUCCAUGAAGUUGGAACCAAGUAAAAUCCCA
rnacentral:rRNA from 1 species